CUUGUACGGAAAGCUCAUAUCUAAUAUGGUAAAAUUUUGAAAAACCGAGCUUUCGAAGUGUCCAUGAAGGUACCCCCAGGCUGCCCGCUGUAUGCAGUAGAGGAGGUGAGUUCAGUUGCAGUAGGAUUUCGGACGUACAACAUCGUUUCACCCUGUACUUCGGCCCAAAGGUUGCCUAUUUAACACAUUUCCCUCCGUUUUCCUUUUUUUUUACUCGGAUACACGUUUGGAGGAAAGCUCUUUUAUGGUCCUGGCCGAAGAUUCCACGAUGUCUCGCACCGACGAGGUUCACCGAUUGACGGAAAAUGUCUACAAGACCAUCAUGGAACAGUUCAACCCCUGCUUACGGAAUUUUGUUGCCAUGGGGAAGAACUACGAGAAGGCCCUUGCCAAUGUGACAUUUGCUGCCAAAGGCUACUUCGACGCGCUGGUGAGAAUGGGCGAGCUCGCCAGCGAGAGUCAAGGAUCCAAAGAUUUGGGGGAUGUGCUGUUCCAGAUGGCUGAGGUCCACAGACAGAUCCAAGUGCAGCUGGAGGAGAUGCUGAAAUCUUUCCACAACGAGUUGCUGUCAGAGCUGGAGAAGAAGGUAGACCUGGAUGCCCGCUACCUGACUGCCGCCCUGAAGAAGUACCAGGUGGAGCACAAAAGCAAAGGGGAGAGUCUGGAGAAGUGCCAGGGGGAACUGAAGAAACUGCGCAGGAAGAGCCAGGGCAGCAAGAACCCCUCCAAAUAUGGCGAGAAAGAGAUGCAGUUUGUGGAGACCAUCAGCAGUAAGCAGACCGAGCUGGACACCUUCAUCGCUGAAGGGUACAAGACUGCCUUGUCUGAGGAACGUCGGAGGUACUGCUUCCUGGUGGACCGCCAGUGUGCCGUGGCCAAAAACAGCAGCGCCUACCACGGCAAGGGUAAAGACCUCCUGACCCAGAAGAUCCCAGUGUGGCAGCAGGCCUGUUCGGACCCCAACAAGCUCCCAGAGAGGGCUGUGCUCUUGGCCCAGCAGAUGGGCUCGGCCAUGGGCGGUACCAGCCCCAUGCACACUUCAAAAUCCAACCUGGUCAUCUCUGACCCCAUCCCCGGAGCUCAGCCCCUUCCUGUGCCCCCGGAGCUGGCUGUAUUCAUGGGUAGCGGCCUCGGGCACCAGGCGAGGCUGAUGGGCCCCGAUGGAAUGUCCAUGGUCAACGGGACAACAGGAGUCCACGGCGAGGAAUACUGGACGGAUGGAGGGACUUUAUCCCAAGUCAGGCCUUCGUCUCCACAGACUCAGGCGCAGGUGCAGUCCCAGGCUCAGCCUCAGAGACAGGUCAGCGACGUCUACUCCAACACCCUGCCUGUGCGCAGGCCUGCACCCGCCAAGAAUAAGAACCCAGUGGGAGAGACGCGGACCCUGCCCAGGUCUAGCUCCAUGGCGGCGGGCCUGGAGAAGAACGGGCGUUCCCGUGUGCAGGCCAUCUUCUCACAUGCCGCUGGCGACAACAGCACCCUGCUGAGCUUCUCGGAGGGCGACGUCAUCACCCUGCUGGUACCCGAGGCCCGUGACGGCUGGCACUACGGGGAGAACGAGAAGAAUAAGAUGCGUGGCUGGUUUCCUUUCUCCUACACACGAGUGCUGCCUGACAGCGACGGCGAAAAGCUCAAAGUGAAUCUGCAUCAUGGGAAAAGUAGCAGCACGGGCAACUUGUUGGAGAGUGACGCAUCCCUGCCCACACCUGACUACGGCCUCACCGCCCGACUGUUGGCGCAGAGUCUAGCACAGACGCGCCCACGCCCCUACAGCAUGGCAGGCUUUGGCACUCAGCCUGCUAUUGAGGAUUAUGAUGGUCGCUUUGCCACAAGCUCUCAGCAGUGUUCUUUCUGAUUGUAUCCCCUGAGUGGCUUUGUAGUUUUGUUCCUCUUUCAAUCAAUUGUUGUACAAAAGACCUACAAAUGACUGAUGAUUAGUUGUUUUAGCUUAUGCAUGCCGUGGAGGGAUAUCAGAAGAUGUGAUACUAAAAAAAAAAAAAAAAAAGACUUUGAAUGUAUGGUGACUUUUUACAAAGGUAUUCUAAAUAAAACAUAUCUCUAUAUAUUAAUAAAUCGCCUGGUGUGACGGGAAAUCUGUUCUUUCACAUGUAUUCUUGUCUUAAUGGCUCAAAUUGGAACAGAUUUCAAUUUGAAUUGUUUCUUUUUGUCCAAACUGCUGUUGCCGCCAAAAUCCAGCAUGUCCUCCACCCGUCCUCCUUGUGUGUGUGUGAUAUACAGUGUGAAUGCCGCCUGAUCCUUGUAGUUGUAGUUGACUUUUAAAGUACUUUUGUUGUUGUAUUUGGGUGACGACACACAAUUCCAAACACCUGCCUGAUGAUCUGUUGUGACAAGCUGCACAAGCACGUCUCCAGCAUGUGGAGCAUGAAUCCAUGGAUUUUUUGUUAGCCAUCCCAUUCAUUCACUCACAGAAUGGAACCUCAAAGGUUCAACACAAUCUCUUCAUCUGCCGGUUGACCUCUGAUUUGUUUGGAUUUAGGAUACAGUGUUAGGUUCCCAGAUAGGUUCCCAAAAUAUCCCGCAAUAAGUGAAAUCCGUGAAGUAGCCAUCUUUGUUUAUUUUAUUAUUAUAUAUAUGUUAAGGCCAGUGGUCUAGUGGUUAGCAUGUUGGCCAACACAGGAACAGCCUGGAGAUCGGGAAGACCUGGGUUCGAUUCUCCCUUGGGCAUCUCUGUGUGGAGUUUGCUCCGUCAGUCAGUCCAGGGUGUACCCCGCCUGUCGCCCCGAAGUCAGCUGGGAUAGGCUCCAGCAAGCCCCGCUACCCUAAAAGAGGAGAAGCGGUAUAGAAAAUGGAUGGAUGGAUGUUUUAAGUCGUAAAAUCCCUCACAAUAUACACUUUAUACACCUUUCUCAGACAAACAAUCACAUUUUGUCACAUUCUCUCCUGUUUAAACACUCAGAAAAGUUAAAACCUUAGUUGGAAUUUUAAUGAUCAACACAAGAAGUGAUUAAGUCACUCACGCAUAUUUCACUCUUGUGACCGUGCCUUUUCGUCCUGGCACUGUAGCGCUGUGCUGUCGCGUUUUUGUAUUGUUGUUAAAACAUAUUGCUGCAGACUAACCGAAGAUUCAUUUACAAGCUAGCAAGCAAGCAAGCGAUGACACGGGAGACAUGGCAGGACGGCACGAAAGAGAUUGAAGAAAACAACGGGCAGUGCAGACAGAUGAGAGAGGGAAGAGAUAAACACUCAGCGUCUCACAGUGCAGUUCUUCUUGAAGGCCCAGGCUCGGCUUGUAACAGCGUUCAUAUGCUGUCAUAAAAAAUAAAAGGAGCGCUAAAUAAAAUCCACGAAACGGCGAAUCCUCGAAAGGCAAACCGCGAUAGAGCGAGGGAACGCUUUAAUAUUUUCAUAGGAAAUAAUGGAAGUAGAAAUACUCUGUUCCAGAGUCAAACUGUGACCAUCAUCAUGUUAUGACAACAUUUUUAACAUUCUUCACUGCCAUACAAGUGGAAAAAGAAGUUAACUGCAAAAUACAACGAGCCAGGUGGAGGACAGAAAAUGUCCACCAGACUUGAAGAUAAUUGUCAGGUAGUUUUGUUCUGUAGACUUUGCGAUCGUUAACUUCUUUUUACACUUGAAUGCCUGAGACGCAGGUCAUUAACGUUAAGACUUGAGGGUUUCGCUAUUAGGACAAGUUAUUUUCACACAUUUAAACACACACAACAAACAGUUCAAAAAAACAUUUUCUGAUAAGUUAAUAGUUUCUAGGAUGGCCACAGUUUGACCCUGGAACAGAUCAUGAUCAUUUCUGUUAGUUCUGAUGGGGAGAAAUGUUUCUAAAUCCAAAUCUUAAAAGCUCAAACACCUUUCUGGAAUAGAUUGUGUUUAACCUUUCGAUUCCAGUGCACUUUUCUGAUAAGUUCAUCUCGCAGCAGACUAACCUGCAGUGUCGUUACUAAUUGUGACCCAAUGCAUGACCUGAGAAGUGAACCACUCAAACCCAAAGGUUCUCUUUACCUUCCAGUUUGGGUCCAGAGUUGUCCCGCUUCUGAGGGAACAGGACCUCCUGACCGUUCCAUGGAGGUCUACCUCCGGCCCACCUUCACUGACGACCGAUCUGCCACCAUCUACUACUAGCGGACUGCAGUCCCCUUUUUUGGCCACUAGUGGGCCAAGAAGCAUAGGGGGAGACGGCCAAAGUCCUAUAAGGGUGCGUUCACACUUGUCAUGUCUGGUUUGGUUAUGAGCCACUCUGGUGCGUUUGCUCUGUUAGUGCGGUUCGUUUAAAACAAGCGUGAACGCAGUCAUGGGAGCCCUGGUGUGCACCAAACAAUCGGACUGUGACUGCUUCAUAGAUGGGUCUCGGUCCGCCUUCAGGUGAACGCUCGUGUGAACGCUGAUCAGACCAAAGACGCAACAAAAAGCACACAGAAACGACAAAUACGUAAGAGAAAACGUGUGACAACGGAGCUCUUGAAAAAUAUGUUUUAGAAGCUUUUGGUGAAAUUGUAAAUUGUAAAUACAGCAGAAUCUAAAAAUAACCAGCAUAGAUGGCAUUUUGGUUGGGAAAAUUUGAGUUAUGGCAUAGAAACUGCCCCGUCAAGUCUUUACUUUAUGCUUAUGUUCUUUACUGGUCCCUUGACAAAAAUACCAGUGAUAGCUAGUAGGGAUGCAACAGCACACGGUAAAAUAUGGCACCGUUCAGUCUGCCUGCACGGGACAAUCCCUUCUUACGGGCCGCGGGCUUGCAAUGCAUUUUGCACAGUCCAGGCUGGCGAAAAUCCCUCCCUGCGACAUCACGGUCCAUUUCCCACACUGUACAUAGAUAUUUGAAGUGAGGGAGGGAGUCUACCGAAAAGCAGAUGAAAAGGCAAGGUGGUCCGGCGUGGAAACGCUCUGUCGGCGAUGCGCAGAGGGUCCUUCCGGCCGAUCUCCUCGCUCCCUCAGCUGUGGUGCACUCGCUUUUGAUCGCCUCACCCGUGAAAUACGUAAACAGACAACGGAAACACGUUUCGCCUAUUAACGCUGCACUUCAGGUAAGGAAAUGACUAAAAAUAAAACAAUCACCACGCUGUUCUAACUCUACCUUCCCAAAGACAAACACUGUAAACGGGGGGUGUCCAAAGUGCGGCCCAGGGGCCAUUUUCAGCCCACAGCUUGUUCUUUGUAAUGGGACAUAUUAGAUAUUACUCUAAUUUGCUUUGCCCCCAAUAACACAAAGCUUAUAUAGUUUAUAGACGGGUACUCUGAUCAGGAUUCUAUGCUGCCGAUUCCGAUACUGAUCCUCUAUUAGUGAUAUCAGCAAUACUGAUCUUGUAGUAACUGUUAGUUUUUCAAUUUAUUUAUAAUCAGUGCUAUUGGCCAGGGGCGUGGUAUGGGCUGGGGUGGGGUUCAGGUGUCAGGACAGUUCCCAAAAAUAUGUAAUUAUCAAAAAAUUUAAGGGGGUGGCCCCCCAAUGGUCUUUUUUUUCAAGGGGCCCAGAAUUACUGGCUGCACCCCCACUAUUGGCUGCAUGAUCUGAAAAAAGGAACUAUAAAAUCACACUUGUUUGGAUGAGACGCCUGAUAGUGUAGUGUGGACAUGGGACACCAUGAGUGGACAUGGUGGACAUGGGACACAAUGACAUGGGACAAGUGAUACACGAUGAGGAUUCUGACUUCCCUUGAACAGGUGUACGUGAACUUGACCAACAGCCCCACUACUUGUGGCAUGGAUCAACAUGCAUGUGCAAAACUUAAAUCAUAUAUGAUGUCGGUGCGCUUUAACUCAGACUUCAGUCUCUUUGUACAGCGUCCCUGCUACCGACAAAUUCACAAUAUCAAGGCCUUCUUUAAGGAGACCCUCGUCCAUCGUCUGAUGGCACUCUGGCAGGGCUUGAAGUGAGAGAGCAGUCGGCGGGACCCGGUGUGGAAUCGUCGUUUACGCACAAAAAAUACACCGAAACCGUAGCCCACAAACCGAGCCGCGGCCCAACCUGUAGCGUUGCACCCCUAUUAGCUAACCACACCAAAAUGUGCAUCUUUUUAUUUUCCGCUGAUCCCAGCGUACCGAACCACAAGUGUGAACGCAGCCUAAAAUAGCUUUUCAAUUCUUUUGUGGUUAAGAUAAGCCGAUACUUUUUACUCGCAAUGCCACCACAUUAUCUCUCACACACACACACACACACACACACACGUGUUACACUGUAAAUGUGUUAUUAUUGACGUUAAUAAGCAGCAAAGAUUAUUAUUAGGAAAGGUAAGUAGAGUUUAUGAUCUGGUGAUUGCUUGCAAUAGUUGCAUAUUCCAACGUUUGGGGAGUUGUGCCUUCCAUUGUUACGUUUGUGUUUUCGUCCAGCUAGCUUGCGGGCCCACACGUCUACGUAUUUUAUAUACCGUCAAAUAUUAGCAUUUUGUUGCUUGCUUCUCGUGUAACAUUUUCUGACUUUUUUUUUGUUCUCCUUUACCUUUUUUUCCGUUCCACCGGUCUUUUCAAUGACUGUUCUUUUAAUGUUUAACUUGUCGCGUAAAGAAGUGAGGUGGAACCAUAAUGGAGUUCUUUUAUGACCGUUAUUAUUAGCUUUGAGGGAGCGGUAGCUUAUAUCAGAUAAGGCGCAGUAUUAAUAGAGCCUUUUGGUCGUCGUUCAGUAUUAUACGCUGGUCAAAGUAAGAAAUAGAUCAACCUAGCAGAGUGCUUAACAUAAAAUAUAGCAAUAGCUGGAAAGAAUUACUCCAUUGUUGAGUAGUUUACGCUGAGGGCUUUUUGAUUAUGCUUUUAUGAUUGCAUUUGUUGUUUUUUUAUAUUUUAUAUAGCUUCCACUUUGUUCAUUUCCCACUUUUGUUGUCCGUUUAUGUUAUAUACCUGUUGUGUACAGAAAGCACAUAAAUUAUCUUGUCCAAAAUAAAUCUCAGUGGACGCAAACUUCCUGCCAGUGUGUGUGGUAAUGUCGUUUUGGUGUCUUGCAAGGUUACUGGAAAGAAAUAAACAGGAGGCAUUUUUACGCCCUUUCUGACACAGCUCUCCCAUUUGUCCGGGAUUGGCACCGGGACUGGACAUAUCCAAUAGCCCGUGUUGGGGGCCCUGGCUGGGAACCCAACUCGUGUUAUCUGCACAAAACGGAGGAGUUUGUGCCGCUACACCACCAGGGCACGUAGAGUAUAAAGAUAAGGUUGGAAAAAAAUACGAGAAAAAGGUGAAAAAUUACAAGAUAUUUCCAAGGCUUUUUCUCGGCAUAGUGCAAAUUUAUUCAUGUGGCAUAACGCCUUUAUUCUCAUAUUACAGCUUUUUUGGAAAGAGUUUGCAGUUCAACAUCAUUUUCUCCAAUAAAAAAAUCGAUGUACCGUAAUGUUUAUUUUCAUUACCGCUUUUUGUCUUGUAACAAGACCAUUUUACUCAAGUUUGCGGCUUGAAAAAUAGAGCUUGAUGCACACAACAGAAGUGUUUUAUUGUCUUAUAGUGAGACGAAGCUCGUAACAUCACGAUGCUUGUAUUGUAAUACUAACGACUUUUGUAACAUUACAACUUUUACUUUGAAGUAAUACAACUUUAUUCUUGCAAUAUUGCAACUAUUUAGUGAAAAUAAUUUGACUUUAUUCUCAUAACUCUGGGGGGGGGGGUUCCUAAUAUAAGAUUAAGAUUACCAUCACACUGCAUGGCAUGUACCACAGGAUAGGGUGAAAAGAAGUACUCCUCCCAUUGCGUGUGGAAGUGGUAAGUGGUUUUGCCAUCUCUGUUCUUCUUCUUCCCCACUCCAUUUUAAACCACUUCUUCAGUUUAGAAUACAGUAAAUUGGUGGAUAACUAGUUAGCUCGCUAGCUUGCUAAUGGUUAAAGCUAUGGCCGUCUUUUGUGUCCCUGCAGUGAUCCCGUAGCCCGCACCUUACAGUUAAGCAAUGUGGUGUUCCUGUCUAGAGGGCUCUAAUAAUGGUAAAGAUUGUAUUUAGGAAGUCAUAAGCAGGUUUUCUGUGCUCUACAAAAAUGUUCCAUUUAUGAAUAUUGAAUCCUACUUUGCAGAAAUGUACUUAAACGUAUCGCGGUUGGGUCCGGAACCAGUUAACUGCGGCAAACGCUGAUGACGGUUUUGUAAUGUUAUUCUCGUGACUUCUUCCAUAACUUGAUUAAGGAAAAAAUAACUUCUUAAAAAUGUUCUUGUGACAAUUAGAAAUAUUUUCUUGCCAUAAAACAACUUUCUUCUCAGACCUUUACAAGUUUAUUCACAUUUUCCAACUUUUUUUUCAAAUCCGACUUUAGUCUCUGACUGUUUUUGUCUUAUAAAAAAAAUAUAUUUUCAUCAUCUACUACUCCUUUACAGCAAAAAAAAAAAAAAACCCGCAACUUUAAUUGUACAAUUUCCUUUUAUUCUUAAAGCUUUCUGACUUUAUUCUAGUACUACAACUUUACUCAUGACUUUAGGACUUUUUUUCAAAAUCUGAAUUUUUUUUUUUGUUCUCUUAAAUAAACAAGGACACUGUUUUUGUCAUCGAAUUGUAAGAAAUGACAGAAGAAGCAGGGAGAAAGUAAAGUAUUUCAGUGUAUUGUUUCAGGAUAGUACAACAGCCAUGAGUGAAGACAGAAUGGACAUCAUUGAUACUGCUUACUACUGGUGCUGGUGCGAAGAUACUGGUUAUCACUGGUACAAGGAACACCCGUCUUCUAAUUAUUGCCACUUCAUCCAAUUCGGCUUUUUUUUUAACAUCUCUUUGGCAAAUGUGAGGGAGAUUUGCACCUUGAAUUGCAUCCUUACAGCAGUAGUAAUUCAAGUCAAGCUACCUGCUACAUGUUCAUUAUUUAACAUACAAUAUGUGACUUUCCGCACGAUUUCAAUAGAAUGAACGACAACACGCGGACAUAGAAAAGAUUCAUGACGGCAUGAUACCUCCUUGCAAUGCAAAAUGCACACAAACGAGUAAAAGUAGACGUUUUUGUUCUUCCGAGAUAUGUCAUCACUUCAAAUAAAAGAGAUGCAGUGACAAUAGUGAUUUUUUUUUUUUACACAAAAAAGUGCUUUAUCGCCAUCCCUUACCUCAUACCUGUUUAAAAAAUAAAGUCUUAAUUGUCUGGCUACCAAAAUAAGAGUUUGUAACAGUCUUUAAAACAAUGUUAAGCAGCCAAUUAAAAGAAGCACUGAUCAUUUAUAGUCUUAAUUGUUUCAUGUUGAACAAAUGAGUGACCAAUGUGAAGGUUGUUGUUUACGGGGACAUUCUGGGGUCCUUUCUUGAUCAGCAGCAAAUUAUAAAAAAAAAACACCAAAAUAAACUGUGCAAAUCACCACGAGGCACUGUCUCAUAAAGGGUCACCACCACCAGUCAUGGGACUGAAAAAUAAAACCUCUGGAAAACAUCACAGA